GAGAUAUGAUGAGUAUUCAUUGGUCCGUGUUUCUGAUUCACCGUGACAGAAAAUCCUAUUCCAAUCUCUGAUCUC